rnacentral:sRNA from 1 species
GUGCAGUUACUGCCAUCACGGCGGCCGCGGUGGCGUCCUGGAGCCCUUCUCAGUGCUGAAGCUGCUGAAAGAUGGCAGAAGAAGUGGUGGUAGUAGCCAAAUUUGAUUAUGUAGCCCAACAAGAACAAGAGUUGGACAUCAAGAAGAAUGAGAGAUUAUGGCUUCUGGAUGAUUCUAAGUCCUGGUGGCGAGUUCGAAAUUCCAUGAAUAAAACAGGUUUUGUGCCUUCUAACUAUGUGGAAAGGAAAAACAGUGCUCGGAAAGCGUCUAUUGUAAAAAACCUAAAGGAUACCUUAGGUAAGAUUUUUUUUAUUAAAAGAAAAUCAACUUUGUUUUAAAUGAAACCUGCAACUUAGUUCUUUGUACAUAAUUCUGGCAGCAGUGUGCAUAAUUGACUUGAAAAGGCAAGGGCUAGGUAAGUUUGACUCAUAGCAGGUGGUCAACCCAGAAGACCAAUGAAGGUCAUAAGCGUUAACAUGCAGUUUCUGUAAAUCUAGGCCCACGCUCCAAGUCAAGGCAGAGUGGUGCCAAUGAGUAGAACUGUCACCUUCUAGCAGGGGCUCUUUGAACCAUGAAUGACUGUUGGAGUUUAGACUUACAGGCAGAAUUGCCUCUUUGGCACCAAGGCAACUUAUGUACAUGGCACAUAAUGAAUUUUAACAUCUAAUGACCUUAUGUUUUGAACUUCACUUAAAACCCUCCAUUUUAUUUUUCUAUUUGAUAAGAGAACUGUGGAUCAUUACUGUACAUUAGCACCUACAGAGCUCUUUUCUAUUUUGUUUCUCUUUUUCCC